rnacentral:rRNA from 1 species
AGUCGAACGGCAGCACGGGAGCAAUCCUGGUGGCGAGUGGCGAACGGGUGAGUAAUAUAUCGGAACGUGCCCAGUCGUGGGGGAUAACGCAGCGAAAGCUGUGCUAAUACCGCAUACGAUCUAUGGAUGAAAGCGGGGGAUCGCAAGACCUCGCGCGAUUGGAGCGGCCGAUAUCAGAUUAGCUAGUUGGUGAGGUAAAGGCUCACCAAGGCGACGAUCUGUAGCUGGUCUGAGAGGACGACCAGCCACACUGGGACUGAGACACGGCCCAGACUCCUACGGGAGGCAGCAGUGGGGAAUUUUGGACAAUGGGGGCAACCCUGAUCCAGCAAUGCCGCGUGAGUGAAGAAGGCCUUCGGGUUGUAAAGCUCUUUUGUCAGGGAAGAAACGGUGAAGGCUAAUAUCCUUUGCUAAUGACGGUACCUGAAGAAUAAGCACCGGCUAACUACGUGCCAGCAGCCGCGGUAAU